rnacentral:rRNA from 1 species
AUUGAACGCUGGCGGCAGGCCUAACACAUGCAAGUCGAACGCGUGGCGGACGGGUGAGUAAUGUCUGGGAAACUGCCAGAUGGAGGGGGAUAUAUUCUGGAAACUGUAUCUAAUACCGCAUUCCAUCAGAUGUGCCCAGAUGGGAUUAGCUAGUUGGUGGGGUAACGACUGACCAAGGCGACGAUCCCUAGCUGGUCUGAGAGGAUGGACAGCCACACUGGAUCUGAGACACGGUCCAGACUGCUACGUGAGGGAGGAGGGGGGAAUAUUGCAUGAUGGGCGCGAGCCUGAUGCAGCCAUGCCGCUUGUAUGAAGAAUGCCUUCGGGUUGUAAAGUACUUUCAGCUGGGAGGCGUUACCCGCAGAAGAAGCACCGGCUAACUCCGUGCCAGCGGCGGCGUAAUUC